GGGGAAAUAGUGUAGGGGUUAUCGCGUCCGCUUUGCAUCAUGACUUUGCUUGCGGAAGGUCCGGGGUUCAAUUCCCCGUUUCUCCA
rnacentral:tRNA from 2 species